rnacentral:rRNA from 1 species
ACUCCUACGGGAGGCAGCAGUGGGGAAUAUUGGACAAUGGGGGCAACCCUGAUCCAGCAAUGCCGCGUGAGUGAUGAAGGCCUUAGGGUUGUAAAGCUCUUUUGGCGGGGACGAUGAUGACGGUACCCGCAGAAUAAGCCCCGGCUAACUUCGUGCCAGCAGCCGCGGUAAUACGAAGGGGGCUAGCGUUGUUCGGAUUUACUGGGCGUAAAGGGCGCGUAGGCGGUGCAAUAAGUCAGGCGUGAAAGCCCCGGGCUCAACCCGGGAAUUGCGCUCGAUACAGCGAGGCUAGAGUGUGGGAGAGGAUGGUGGAAUUCCCAGUGUAGAGGUGAAAUUCGUAGAUAUUCGCAAGAACACCAGUGGCGAAGGCGGCUCACUGGCCCGGUACUGACGCUGAGGCGCGAAAGCUAGGGGAGCAAACAGGAUUAGAUACCCUGGUAGUCCUAGCCCUAAACUAUGGAUGCUUGGUGUGGUGGGUACCCAAUCCCACCGUGCCGCAGCUAACGCAUUAAGCAUUCCGCCUGGGGAGUACGGUCGCAAGGCUGAAACUUAAAGGAAUUGACG